rnacentral:tRNA from 1 species
GGAGAGAUGGCCGAGUGGUCGAAGGCGCACGCCUGGAGAGCGUGUAGGGUGCAAGCCCUCGCGAGUUCGAAUCUCGCUC